GCGGCUAUAGCUUAGUCGGUUAAAGCGCCUGACUGUGAAUCAGGAGAUCGAGGGUUCAAGUCCCUCUAGCCGCC
rnacentral:tRNA from 1 species